GGAGAUUUACCCAAGUGGCUGAAGGGGGCGCUCUCGAAAAGCGUUAGGUGGUUAUCCACGCGUGGGUUCAAAUCCCACAAUCUCCG
rnacentral:tRNA from 1 species